GUGUCAGCUGUGAAGAACUCACUCCACUCAAGAAUGAAGAGUACAGUUUAGAAGGCAGCACUGUUACUCUGUCCUACAGAUACUCCAAACAAGCUGCUGGGGAUGAUUAUUUCUUUUGGUAUCGACAAUAUCCAGGAAAACCACCAGAGUUCAUCAUUUUCAUCUCAGGGAUGAACAUUUCAAGAAUAGCAGAAUCUCUGAAAUCAGACACAAGGUUCUUUACUGAACUGUCUGAAGAAAAAUGUCGUGUGGACCUGCAGAUCUCCUCUGCUGCAGUGACAGACUCUGCUGUGUACUACUGUGCUGUGAGGCCCACAGUGACAGGAAACACCAAAACUCUGUACAAAAACAUGUGGAUCCACUAG